rnacentral:misc_RNA from 1 species
UCCGGUUUGGCACCGGCAGUCCUCCCAGAGUCCUCGCCACGACGCGUUAGCAACUGGGAGCGGGGGUUGCGCUCGUUGCGGGACCUAACCCAACAUCUCAUGACACGAGCUGACGACAGCCAUGCAGCACCUCGACUCUAGUCCCUUGCGGGAAAACCGUGUUUCCACAGUCGUUCACGAGCCGUUCGAGCCCAGGUAAGGUUCUUCGCGUUGCGUCGAAUUAAUCCGCAUGCUCCGCCGCUUGUGCGGGCCCCCGUCAAUUCCUUUGAGUUUUAGCCUUGCGGCCGUACUCCCCAGGCGGGGCGCUUAAUGCGUUAGCUGCGGCACAGAGAACCGGAGAGGCCCCCCACACCUAGCGCCCAACGUUUACAGCGUGGACUAC